rnacentral:rRNA from 1 species
AUGGUAGGAUAGAGGCCUACCAUGGUGGUAACGGGUAACGGGGUGUUAGGGCACGACACCGGAGAGGGAGCCUGAGAAACGGCUACCACAUCCAAGGAUGGCAGCAGGCGCGCAAAUUACCCAAUCCCGACACGGGGAGGUAGUGACAAUAAAUAACAAUACGGGGUUCUUUAGGAUCUCGUAAUUGGAAUGAGUACAAUUUAAAUCUCUUAACGAGGAACAAUUGGAGGGCAAGUCUGGUGCCAGCAGCCGCGGUAAUUCCAGCUCCAAUAGCGUAUAUUAAAGUUGUUGCAGUUAAAAAGCUCGUAGUUGAAUUUCGGGGUCAGUAGGUCGGUCGUGCCACUGGUAUGAACUGAUUUUACUGAUUCCUCCCUCUUGAAGAACUGUAAUGCCAUUAAUUUGGUGUUGCAGGGAAUCAGGACUGUUACUUUGAAAAAAUUAGAGUGUUUAAAGCAGGCUUUAGCUUGAAUACAUUAGCAUGGAAUAAUGAAAUAGGACGUUUGAUCCUAUUUUGUUGGUUUCUAGGAUUGACGUAAUGAUUAAUAGGGAUAGUUGGGGGCAUUAGUAUUCAAUUGUCAGAGGUGAAAUUCUUGGAUUUAUUGAAGACUAACUACUGCGAAAGCAUUUGCCAAGGAUGUUUUCAUUAAUCAAGAACGAAAGUUAGGGGAUCGAAGACGAUCAGAUACCGUCGUAGUCUUAACCAUAAACUAUGCCGACUAGGGAUCGGAUGAUGUUAAUUUUUCAAUGACUCAUUCGGCGCCUUACGGGAAACCAAAGUGUUUGGG